rnacentral:lncRNA from 1 species
AUGGAAAGCCCGGCCAGACAGGGAGACGUCACGUCAUAUCCCCGAGCCUUUCCUGUCCAGCAGCCUUGGGUCCCUCCGGAUGCACAUCAUGCCCAUGAGCCUCUGGUGUCAGAGCCUUUGACAAGGAAACUUUCAGCCCUCUGCACACCGGGAACACGUGCCCCAGGCGUGCUGCUGCCUGGCAGUGACGCCGGGGAGAAACAGCCACCAAGUCCCAGGAAAGCCUCCAGUGGCAAUCUUGGGCUCUCCUCUCCACGGACAUGUCCUUGGAGCCCGACUUUAGGGAGAAAGAAUAAGUUCUGCAGUAUCCAUUUGCUAGUCCUUCUUGGCCCGACCAGAAGCGUUGCUGUUUGCUGCAGCUCCCUCAAAGCCAGCCAAGCGUAA